GAACUGGGGGUCUGGCAGGUAGCGGAUGGCGGUGGGGCAGGCCAGCGUGUGAUUGGCUACCCUCAGGGUCACAGAGCUGCUGAAGGGGUCGCGGUCUGUCGCCAGGCUCUCGAACUUCAGAGACUGUUGAGAGGGCAGAGAUCCAUCGGGCACAAGAAUCAUCCAGCCUAAGGUGACCUUCUGGUUCGUGUGACUGUGGGUGACCUCCUCAACAAACUCCAGGUGCUGUCCGGUGCGAUGGAGGCGCAGACCGGCGCCGACAGGUAGGUGAGCGACGCGUUGCCGUGGCAACUGCCGUCGGGCAGGAGGAGGCAGACCUCGACCCGGCCCUUGUCUCCGGCGGGGAUGUGGAAGGUCAGGCUGGCCCCCGUAUUGAGCCUCACCGAAGCCCUACGCACAGAGAGGGGCGUCAGGGUCGUUAUCCUCCCUAUUAUUAAUAAUAGCUUACAGUGGAUCUGAAUCCACUGUAAGUCGCUCUGGGGGAAAGAAUCUCAAAGUGCUAAACGACCA
ensembl:lncRNA